GAUGAAGAACGCAGCGAAAUGCGAUAAGUAAUGUGAAUUGCAGAAUUCAGUGAAUCAUCGAAUCUUUGAACACACAUUGCGCCCCUUGGUAUUCCGGGGGGCAUGCCUGUUCGAGCGUCAUUUCAACCCUCAAGCUUCUGCUUGGUCUUGGGCCGUGCCGGCAACGGCUGGCCUUAAAACUAGUGGCGGUGCCAUCGAGCUCUACGCGUAGUAAUUCUAUCUCGCGUCUGGGCUUCGGUGGACGCUGGCCAGCAACCCCCAAUUUUCUAUGGUUGACCUCGGAUCAGGUAGGGAUACCCGCUGAACUUAAGCAUAUCAAUAAGCGGAGGA
rnacentral:misc_RNA from 1 species